rnacentral:lncRNA from 1 species
GGCAAAAGCAGGUCCUGAAGGCAGGAUCCUGAAGAUCAGGCACCACCUGACAGAAUUCUCAAGCACCUGACUCAUCACCUCUGCAGUGCAUCCCUUUCCAGAAAUCCACUCUCCUGAUUCACCACCAGUGGAAGUUUUAACAAUGGAAACACCAUCUGUGCAAGGUGUCCACAUUGCUAGCUGGGCGGUGAAUGAUUCAGCUCCAAAAUCCCAUUUGAUUGCCUGCUCUUUCCAGACACAACUGCAGCAAACUGGAUUGUCUAGACACAGAUGAUGAGACAGAGUUUAGGGUGCAAGAAGCUAACUAGGGAUCAACACCUGUGUAAGGAAGCAGGCAGAAGUACAAUUGAAGUUGAGAAAGAUGAAGAGGUUGAACUGCCCUGCAGGCCAGAUAGAGCCUUGCCAAACCAGUGGGGAACUCGGAGGAAGUCCUGCCUGCCAGUUUCCCAUGUGGAGCCGAAACAGUCGUGCUUUUAUCUCUCCACCUUGCUCAGUCACCAGAUGCAGGCCACGCCCAGAAGGGUAUGUUUUUCUUUGCAGCUCAGACUGAUGUUGAGGAGCUGGGAGCUGGAAGCCACCUGCUGACUGCACUCCCUGCAGCUGGUCAGCCCAUCCUUCUCGAGGGGCAUCUGAAUGGCAUCUUCAUCAGGUCUACAGUUUUAUGUGCAUGCCACAUUCUGGGCUUUCCCACUUUGAAGCAAUUAUCAGUUAUGAACAUUAGGAACACUUUGUACAAGUUUUACCAUGACCAAAUGCUUUCAUUUAUCUUGGGUAAAUAUCUAGGAAUGGAAUUGCUGGGUCAUGAGGUAGGUGUAUGUUUAGUUUUAUAAGAAACUACUAAGGCUGGGCCAGAUGGCUCACGCCUAUAAUCCCAGCACUUUGGGAGGCUGAGGUGGGCGGAUCACUUGAGGUAAGGAGUUCAAGACCAGCCUGGCCAACAUUGUGAAAUCCCGUCUCUACUAAAAAUACAAAAAUUAGCUGGGUGUGGUGGCACAUGCCUGUAAUCCCAGCUACUUGGGAGGCUGAGGCAGGAGAAUCGCUUGAACCCAGGAGAUGGAAGUUGCAGUGAGCCGAGAUCGCACCAUUGAACUCCAGCCUAGGUGACAGAGUGAGAUUCUGUCUCAAAAAACAAACAAACAGACAAAUAAAAAAAUACUACUAAAGUGAUUAUGCCAUUUUACUCUCCCACCAGCAAUAUAUGUUAAUUCUGGUUGCUCUAGCUCCU